UUCAAAAAUCAAGAUAACAGUGUGGAAAAUCGCAUGGAAUUACAUUCCAACUUUCUCCAACUUAAAGCUAAGAAGAAUAAUGACAGAAGAUCGAUGUCUGAAGUGCGGACAGGAAGCUGAAGAUAGUGAACAUGUCUUUCAAAGGUGCCCUAUUGUGGAAGAAGUAUGGAGUCAGUUGAAUUUUUCAUGGAUACUUAAUAAUAGUCAUUUAGAUCUAUGGAGCUGGCUUACCUGGGUUUUCAGUGAAGGAACAAAUGAACAGUGUCGAAGUUUCUGCUGUGGGCUAUGGAUAAUCUGGACAAGUAGAAAUAAAUUUCUUUAUGAAGGUAAAAUCAGUACCAAUUGGGAAUUAUCCAAGCAAAUCAAAAGUUAUAUUUUAGAUCUAGAUGGUAUUAAAGAACGGGAACUCACCUUAGUAACUAGUACAAGGUCUAGUCAGAGGCUACAAAGAGCGAACACGGCCAUCUUCUUCAAUGCGGCUUUUGACUUCCAGAAUAACAGAUCUGCGUCAGGCCUAGUUGUUAAGGAGCCGGAAGGAAGAAUCGUGGUUGCAAAGUCGAUCCUCUAUGAAAAUGUUGCAUCACCAUUCACAGCAGAGGCAUAUGCAGGGUACCAAGAAAUAAUGUUAGGGAUUCAAUUGGGAUUUCUUACUUUAGACAUUCUUGGAGAUUCAAAAACGGUUAUAUCAAAAUGUCAAAGGGAGAAUCGUGACAGUUCAAAAAUAGGAGCAAUCAUCAAUGAUAUUCAAGCUUUACAAGGUUUUUUUUCAAAAUAUCAGGUUCCUCUUCAUACCAAGAACUGGAAAUAUUGAAGCACAUAGAUUAGCAAAAGAAACGCUUACGAAGGGAGAGGAACAAUACCUGGAAGGAGAGACUUUAAGAGUAUUCUAUGAAGAGCAGGACCCAACUCGACUGGUUUAUUCGGAGCAAAGGGAAAGGAGAUAAGUUUUUGGAAAGGGUGAAAGACGUUUGAGAUGAAAGAAGAAAUGUCAGAUACUAAAAGUAAUCAGAGAAACAAAAGAUUUGAAGGGGUUUGCUUUUACUUUUCAGUGGCCUUGGACAGAGGAAAAGACAGCAUGAUUAAUGCAGGCUAUUGACCGUUCGGCUGGAGUUUUGAUUUUUUAAUUUUUAAUUUUGUUUGUUUUUGGGCUAAACUGAUGUAAGGCCGUUUUUCUUGUUUUUUAGGAUUUAAUUAUUGGGUCUAGCCCAAUAUGGACAAUUGUGUUUUAUUUCCAUGUCUAAUCCAGUCGAAUUUCAAUUCAAAAAAAAAAAGACUAAUAUCAUAGUUUAAAAAAAGUUAUAAAGUAAAUUAAUUUUAAUAAUAUCUGGAAGAGGGAUUAAAUUUUGAAACUAUUAAUAUUUAAAAAAAAUGAAGUAAAUAAACCAAAAAGAGUAAGAACAUGUGUUAACUGUC
rnacentral:lncRNA from 1 species